rnacentral:misc_RNA from 1 species
AGCAGCCGCGGUAAUUCCAGCUCCAAUAGCGUAUAUUAAAGUUGUUGCAGUUAAAAAGCUCGUAGUUGAAUUUCGAGACCGGCUUACUGGUCGUGCUAUUGUACGUACUGGUAUAAUCGGUUUCUCCUUUCUGACGAACUAUAAUGCCAUUAAUUUGGUGUUUUAGGGAAUCAGGACUGUUACUUUGAAAAAAUUAGAGUGUUUAAAGCAGGCUCACGCUUGAAUACAUUAGCAUGGAAUAACGGAAUAGGACGUUUGAUUCUAUUUUGUUGGUUUCUAGGAUCGACGUAAUGAUUAAUAGGGAUAGUUGGGGGCAUUAGUAUUCAAUUGUCAGAGGUGAAAUCCUUGGAUUUAUUGAAGACUAACUACUGCGAAAGCAUUUGCCAAGGAU